AGUGAACGCUGGCGGUAGGCCUAACACAUGCAAGUCGAACGGCAGCACAGGAGAGCUUGCUCUCUGGGUGGCGAGUGGCGGACGGGUGAGGAAUACAUCGGAAUCUACUCUGUCGUGGGGGAUAACGUAGGGAAACUUACGCUAAUACCGCAUACGACCUACGGGUGAAAGCAGGGGACCUUCGGGCCUUGCGCGAUUGAAUGAGCCGAUGUCGGAUUAGCUAGUUGGCGAGGUAAAGGCCCACCAAGGCGACGAUCCGUAGCUGGUCUGAGAGGAUGAUCAGCCAAACUGGAACUGAGACACGGUCCAGACUCCUACGGGAGGCAGCAGUGGGGAAUAUUGGACAAGGGGCGCAAGCCUGAUCCAGCCAUACCGCGUGGGUGAAGAAGGCCUUCGGGUUGUAAAGCCCUUUUGUUGGGAAAGAAAUCCAGCUGGCGAAUACCCGGUUGGGAUGACGGUACCCAAAGAAUAAGCACCGGCUAACUUCGUGCCAGCCGCCGCCGUAA
rnacentral:rRNA from 1 species